UCAUCCAGAUCAGAAAUUGUCUGGCUGCUUAGUAAUAAGCAUGAACAAAUUGUGUGAAUUCGGUGGAACUCUCAAGUAGACAAUACCGAGCCAAGGUUGCAAAGUAAUUUGCUUCAAGGUGUAACGACUAGGGUAUACGAUCCCAACGGGAUUAUGAAACCUAUACGCUCAAGCGAGUGGAAGCGCACAACCCCUAGAGUUUAGGGUGAAGAUAUAGUCUCAACGUCUAUGGUGACAUAGAG
rnacentral:ncRNA from 1 species